rnacentral:lncRNA from 1 species
GCGAGGACCAAACUCAGGACACUGAGCUUGUGGAGACCAGACCAGCAGGAGAUAGAACCUUCCAGAAGUGGGCAGCUGUGGUGGUGCCUUCUGGAGAAGAGCAGAGAUACACAUGCCAUGUACAGCAUGAGGGGCUGCCGAAGCCCCUCACCCUGAGAUGGGGUAAGGAGGGGGAUGAGGGGUCAUAUCUCUUCUCAGGGAAAGCAGGAGCCCUUCAGCAGGGUCAGGGCCCCUCAUCUUCCCCUCCUUUCCCAGAGCCGUCUUCCCAGUCCACCGUCCCCAUCGUGGGCAUUGUUGCUGGCCUGGCUGUCCUAGCAGUUGUGGUCAUCGGAGCUGUGGUCGCUGCUGUGAUGUGUAGGAGGAAGAGUUCAGGUGGAAAAGGAGGGAGCUACUCUCAGGCUGCGUGCAGCGACAGUGCCCAGGGCUCUGAUGUGUCUCUCACAGCUUGAAAAGCCUGAGACAGCUGUCUUGUGAGGGACUGAGAUGCAGGAUUUCUUCACGCCUCCCCUUUGUGACUUCAAGAGCCUCUGGCAUCUCUUUCUGCAAAGGCACCUGAAUGUGUCUGCGUCCCUGUUAGCAUAAUGUGAGGAGGUGGAGAGACAGCCCACCCUUGUGUCCACUGUGACCCCUGUUCCCAUGCUGACCUGUGUUUCCUCCCCAGUCAUCUUUCUUGUUCCAGAGAGGUGGGGCUGGAUGUCUCCAUCUCUGUCUCAACUUUACGUGCACUGAGCUGCAACUUCUUACUUCCCUACUGAAAAUAAGAAUCUGAAUAUAAAUUUGUUUUCUCAAAUAUUUGCUAUGAGAGGUUGAUGGAUUAAUUAAAUAAGUCAAUUCCUGGAAUUUGAGAGAGCAAAUAAAGACCUGAGAACCUUCC